AUGUUUGUCUUUACCUGGAUAAUAAUGCAACUUUGCAUGGGAACUUCUUUUGCUGAUACAAUUCAACCACUGUCUUCAGAAAAAUAUGUAGUUGAGGGUAAAAAUGUGACACUGUCCUGUAAAUACAGUACCAGUACUGGCACUGUUAACUCUCUCCAGUGGUAUCGACAAUAUGUUGGAGCAAAACCAGAGUUCCUACUUUUUCUUGAUGAAUAUUCAACUAAAUCUGAGCCUGAUCUUCGUCUGUAUUCAAAAGCUACAAAAGAAAUCAAACGUGUGGAUCUGAUCAUCUCUGCUGCUGUAUCAGACUCUGCUCUGUAUUACUGUGCUCUGGAGCCCACAGUCACAGGAAACACAAGAAUGCUGCACAAAAUCCUGACACUAUUAUUUAAUGUGGAAAGAAGCUCUUUAAUGGAGCAGAACUGGGACCCCAGAGUCUCCUCGCUUUCAGUCGACAACAUCAGAAACAUCCACUGA